AGGACGAACGCUGGCGGCGUGCUUAACACAUGCAAGUCGAGCGGAAAGGCCCUUCGGGGUACUCGAGCGGCGAACGGGUGAGUAACACGUGGGUAACCUGCCCUCCACUCUGGGAUAACUCCGGGAAACCGGGGCUAAUACCGGAUAUGACCAUCUUAGGCAUCUUUGGUGGUGGAAAGUUUUUCGGUGGGGGAUGGACCCGCGGCCUAUCAGCUUGUUGGUGGGGUGAUGGCCUACCAAGGCGAUGACGGGUAGCCGGCCUGAGAGGGCGACCGGCCACACUGGGACUGAGACACGGCCCAGACUCCUACGGGAGGCAGCAGUGGGGAAUAUGCGCAAUGGGCGGAAGCCUGACGCAGCGACGCCGCGUGAGGGAUGACGGUCUUCGGAUUGUAAACCUCUUUCAGCAGGGACGAAGCGCAAGUGACGGUACCUGCAGAAGAGCACCGGCAACUACGUGCCAGCAGCCGC
rnacentral:rRNA from 1 species